AUAAGUACUUUCUUUUGUAUAAUUUAUUAAAUUUUACUUUUUAGUAAAAAGGCUAAAAUAUAUCUCUUAGACAAGAAGACCCUGUGAAGUUUUAUAUUUAAGAGUUUUGUAUCUAAGAGAAUAUUUUACUGGGGCGGUAGGUAAGACACAUUACUUGAGUAUUAAAACUUUUGUUAAAAUAACUAAAAUUUUUAAAUAAAAAAUAAACUACUCCAGGGAUAACAGCAUAAUUUAAUUUUAAAGUUCUUAUUGACAAUUAAGUUUGUGACCUCGAUGUUGGAUUAAAAGUCCUUUUCUGCGUAUAAGUAGAAUAAGGAGGUCUGUUCGACCUUUAAAAUUUUCCA
rnacentral:rRNA from 1 species